AAUGUACUCCCUCCGUUCGGAAUUACUCGUCCAAGAAAAGAAUGUAUCUAAAUGUAUUGUAGUCGUAGAUGCAUCAAUUUUUAUCCAUUUUUGUGACAAGUAAUUCCGAACGGAGCGAGUAGCAA
rfam:Triticum aestivum genome assembly, contig: Triticum_aestivum_CS42_TGACv1_scaffold_641861_T_6AL-0.279161_3B-0.158317